rnacentral:ribozyme from 1 species
GCCUCCUCUCGCCGACGACAACGCCAACAAUGACGACGGCAAUGGCAUGAAAAAACAAGACGAAGAAAAAGAGGACAAGAAGGAAACCAACGAGGAUGGUUCGAAUUUUUCAUUUCUUUUAAAUCCAUCAUCCUUCUGCCCAGAUCCAAUAUUAC